CUACGGGGUGCUGCAGUGGGGAAUAUUGGGCAAUGGGCGUAAGCCUGACCCAGCAACGCCGCGUGAGGGAAGAAGGUUUUCGGAUUGUAAACCUCUGUCCUUGGGGACGAAUAAAAUGACGGUACCCAAGGAGGAAGCUCCGGCUAACUACGUGCCAGCAGCCGCGGUAAUACGUAGGGAGCAAGCGUUGUCCGGAAUUACUGGGCGUAAAGGGUGCGUAGGCGGCAUAUUAAGUCAGGUGUGAAAUUUUCGGGCUCAACCCGAAACCUGCAUCUGAAACUGAUAAGCUUGAGUAUGAGAGAGGAAAGUGGAAUUCCUAGUGUAGCGGUGAAAUGCGUAGAUAUUAGGGGGAACACCAGUGGCGAAGGCGACUUUCUGGCUCAUCACUGACGCUGAGGCACGAAAGCGUGGGUAGCAAACAGGAUUAGAUACCCCUGUAGUC
rnacentral:rRNA from 1 species